GUCCAAAUUACAAGCCUCUAUGAAUAUUUUAAACUGAAAACAACAAAUAACAAAAUUGAUAAAAUAAUAAAAGCAUUAAUUUCGUAAAUUUCCCGUUUUUCUUACGUUUUAUCCUGGUUUUUCCCAGAUAUUAUGAAAACCGCUUGGAAAAUCAAAAAAAUUUCUUCCCACGAGUACCAUCUAAACAACAUUCGCUUUCAGAAAUGGUGCCGCGCGUAUAAAUCUGAGCAAAGUUUAUGGCCGAAUUACGUUAUACGUUUAUCUGUACAAUAUUAGUAUAAACUAGGUAUUGUAUUUAAUUCGUGAUUUAAAUUGAUAAUUUAGGACCCAAUGUACGUAAAACAAUCGUUAUGGUUUUUAAUUUGUACACAUUUCUAAAGCCUUUAGACUAAAGGUGUGUGGGGUCUAUGAUCUUAUAGAUCCAUUUUGUUUCGAGUCUGUAAUGCAGAGCGAAUAAAAAAUUUAAAUAUAAAUUAAUCGCCAUUGGAAAACCAACACAGAUUUAGUUGUUAAUUAAAAACUAUAAAAUGAAUGCCCUUUCGGACUAUUCACACUAGAAUUUAGGAACCAUCCGUGUCGUAUUUGAAUCCGGGAUUUCACUGUCCGGGCUCUUAUCGUUCCGGCAAACAUUUACAUUCCGGUUUAUCGCAGUCCGGGUUUUUUCUAUCGUUCCGGAUAAUAUUAUUGCAUUGCCGAGUAUUGUGACCUGAUCGUGUCCAUUUUCAGUUUAGAUGGUUUAGAUUCGGCUCGUCAUUAUACUUGUUGAAUGUCGCACCUGGUUAAUUCAAUAAAUACGCCAACACAUCGGCGAAAAACAAACAAACCCGUUACGGGUUCACGUGGGUGCAUUGAAGUCGGUGUACAUCAGUCGUGCCUAGGGUAAAUGAUACAAAUCGUAGUCGGUCGCCGAACAGCUCGCCGAGAUUCGCCAAUUCGAAUAACCGCGCGAGUGUUCAUUAUGGUAUCGCUAUAAAUAACACGCACUGCUCCCGACCGCCUUGCUAUUUUGCUUAUCGGUUUCGAAAUAGCGCGCAGUUUUACGGAUUGCGGCCGCACAGACCGCGAGUCUCGCGACGUUUUCCCGAUUGUUACGAGAAAACCGUACAAGGAGAAUCACCUUGUCAAUGGGCCAACUAAAGACGGCAUUUUCUACCGGAAACCAUCCACACCAAAGUUGACGAUCGGAGCAAGAUCUCCGGCGGAUAAGUUGUUUUCAGAAACAAAACAAAAAAAAAAUCAAAAAUUAUAAAUGUGUGCACAUCAUACGAGUAGUAAUAAUAAAACAAUCACCACGGUUCUGCGAAUCUAUAAGAAAAAAAAAAAUAAAUAAUAAUAAUACGUUCAAGGUUAACAUUUUUAAAAUAGACUAAAUAUGUGUGUUUCGGAACACCCAUAGGCGCAAACAGGGAACUAAUCCCCUCCCAGAAUUCCACUUAUC